GAUGAACGCUGGCGGCGUGCCUAAUACAUGCAAGUCGAGCGAACAGACGAGGAGCUUGCUCCUCUGACGUUAGCGGCGGACGGGUGAGUAACACGUGGAUAACCUACCUAUAAGACUGGGAUAACUUCGGGAAACCGGAGCUAAUACCGGAUAAUAUAUUGAACCGCAUGGUUCAAUAGUGAAAGACGGUUUUGCUGUCACUUAUAGAUGUAUCCGCGCCGCAUUAGCUAGUUGGUAAGGUAACGGCUUACCAAGGCGACGAUGCGUAGCCGACCUGAGAGGGUGAUCGGCCACACUGGAACGGAGACACGGUCCAGACUCCUACGGGAGGCAGCAGUAGGGAAUCUUCCGCAAUGGGCGAAAGCCUGACGGAGCAACGCCGCGUGAGUGAUGAAGGUCUUCGGAUCGUAAAACUCUGUUAUUAGGGAAGAACAAAUGUGUAAGUAACUAUGCACGUCUUGACGGUACCUAAUCAGAAAGCCACGGCUAACUACGUG
rnacentral:rRNA from 1 species